UACCCGCAGCCCAAGUGGUGGUCGAUUUUAUUGGGCCUAAAGCGUUCGUAGCCGGUUUAAUAAGUCUCUGGUGAAAUCCUGUAGCUUAACUGUGGGAAUUGCUGGUGAUACUGUUGAACUUGAGGUCGGGAGAGGUUAGCGGUACUCCCAGGGUAGAGGUGAAAUUCUGUAAUCCUGGGAGGACCACCUGUGGCGAAGGCGUCUGACUAGAACGAAUCUGACGGUGAGGAACGAAAGCUAGGGGCGCGAACCGGAUUAGAUACCCGGAUGGUCCUAACCGUAAACGAUGCGGACUUGGUGUUGGGGUGGCUUUGAGCUGCUCCAGUGCCGAAGGGAAGCUGUUAAGUCCGCCGCCUGGGAAGUACGGUCGCAAGACUGAAACUUAA
rnacentral:rRNA from 1 species